rnacentral:rRNA from 1 species
GACGAACGCUGGCGGCGUGCUUAACACAUGCAAGUCGAACGGAAAGGCCCUGCUUUUGUGGGGUGCUCGAGUGGCGAACGGGUGAGUAACACGUGAGUAACCUGCCCUUGACUUUGGGAUAACUUCAGGAAACUGGGGCUAAUACCGGAUAGGAGCUCCUGCUUCAUGGUGGGGGUUGGAAAGUUUCGGCGGUUGGGGAUGGACUCGCGGCUUAUCAGCUUGUUGGUGGGGUAGUGGCUUGCCAAGGCUUUGACGGGUAGCCGGCCUGAGAGGGUGACCGGCCACAUUGGGACUGAGAUACGGCCCAGACUCCUACGGGAGGCAGCAGUGGGGAAUAUUGCACAAUGGGCGGAAGCCUGAUGCAGCAACGCCGCGUGCGGGAUGACGGCCUUCGGGUUGUAAACCGCUUUCGCCUGUGACGAAGCGUGAGUGACGGUAAUGGGUAAAGAAGCACCGGCUAACUACGUG